AUUCUGUUAUUUCUGUUCUUUCUUCGUGUGAAGAAGAAUUAUAUAUUUGAACCUUACCAUGGAAACACUCAUUCUCAAGGUUUAUAAAUGCACUGUCCCUGAGGUCUAAAGUGACUUGAGAAAGCAUAUGUAACGUUCAUUCCUUCACUUACUCCGCCAAGGUUUGGGUGGCCUUCUAUGGUAAGUGUGGCAGUGCGUUCAGUGCUACGGAGGCACACGAGAGAAUAUUCUGGAUUUGAUUAAAGUUCUCUGAAAAGCUGAACUCUGUUUUUUUAGAUAAAUGAACUGUGCAGAGAUAUUUGAAGGGAGUAGAGAGAAGAACCCUGGCCCAGUUACCUGAACAUCUCAUACCUGAUAAACCCAGCGUACCACAGGAGCCCAGUCGCUUGGGUCCCUCCCCCAUGAACAAGAGAAAGAGGGCUUCUAUGAGACUCCUAGGCUCCUAGAUGAAAAUUAAAGCCCACUGGAAAAAUAAAGAAAAUCUGUGAUGAAGUCGCAAGACACCAUCAUAGUUGGUAAGUUGGAGAGACCAGAACCUCAUAUUGGAACUUUCAA
rnacentral:lncRNA from 1 species